GAUUUCUGGUACAAUGCACCUGGCCCGCGGCCUCUUAGGCUUGUGAGUGCCGGCGCGCGUUUACCAUCCUUCUAGAAAACAGGCCUGCCCUUUACUGGGUUGGGUUUGCGAUCUAGAUCUUUUACUUUGAAAAAAUUAGAGUGUUUAAAGCAGGCUUUUUGCUAUGAAUACAUUAGCAUGGAAUAAUAAUUUAGGACUUUGGCCCUAUUUUGUUGGUUUCUAGGACUGAAGUAAUGAUUGAUAGGGAUAGUUGGGGGUGCUCGAAUUCAGCGGCCAGAGGUGAAAUUCUUGGAUUCGCUGAAGACGAACUCAUGCGAAAGCAUU
rnacentral:rRNA from 1 species